UACGGGGGGGGCAAGCGUUGUUCGGAAUUACUGGGCGUAAAGGGCUCGUAGGCGGCCAACUAAGUCGGAUGUGAAAUCCCCAGGCUCAACCUGGGAACUGCAUCCGAUACUGGAUGGCUUGAAUCCGGGAGAGGGAUGCAGAAUUCCAGGUGUAGCGGUGAAAUGCGUAGAUAUCUGGAGGAAUACCGGUGGCGAAGGCGGCAUCCUGGACCGACACUGACGCCGAGGAGCGAAAGCCAGGGGAGCAAACGGG
rnacentral:rRNA from 1 species